CCUACGGGUGGCAGCAGUGAGGAAUAUUGGUCAAUGGACGAGAGUCUGAACCAGCCAAGUAGCGUGAAGGAUGACUGCCCUAUGGGUUGUAAACUUCUUUUAUAAAGGAAUAAAACGAGGCACGUGUGCCUUUUUGCAUGUACUUUAUGAAUAAGGAUCGGCUAACUCCGUGCCAGCAGCCGCGGUAAUACGGAGGAUCCGAGCGUUAUCCGGAUUUAUUGGGUUUAAAGGGAGCGUAGAUGGGUUGUUAAGUCAGUUGUGAAAGUUUGCGGCUCAACCGUAAAAGUGAAAUUGAUACUGGCAGUCGUGAGUACAGUUGAGGUAGGCGGAAUGCGUGGUGUAGCGGUGAAAUGCUUAGAUAUCACGAAGAACCCCGAUUGCGAAGGCAGCUUACUAAACUGUGACUGACAUUGAUGCUCGAAAGUGUGGGUAUCAAACAGGAUUAGAUACCCCAGUAGUC
rnacentral:rRNA from 1 species